UUAUUCGUAAACAAAUUAAUUAAGAUUAGAAGUAUGAUCUAAACUUGCUGUAAACAAGUCAGGUCUAAGAACCUAUACAUGAAUAAACAAGACAUAUGGACUUUUGGCAAAACCCAACUUUUUAUUCUAAUUUCAAUUAUGGGCUUUUGGCAGAAUCAUCAACGAAAUACGAAUUGGCUUGAAAUUAUGAGAUGAUUGUAAAUAUAAGAUGUUAAAAGAAUUCACUCAUGUAUCUUAUAUGUAGUUUUGAUUUUCCUGCCGCAACAUCGAUUGUAUUUAAAAAUAAAUAAAAAUAAAAUGCAUGCACAAGAACGUGAUCCGAAUAAUCUUACAGGUUCAGCGAGGGGAGUCGUGAUGAACCAAGGUGCCACACUGUUGGUCCUUAUGUUAUCCUUCGCCCACUCACAUGCUAAGUUUUUUGCUAACUGAUUCAUUGCACCUGAGAUACAGUAAAGAAAAGCCACACUUUGGUCUAACAUUAAAAAUCACACACCAAAAACAGCGUAAUCAAAUUUUAGGUUAGUCUAAAAGUGAUAUAAACAAUAUAUGAUACUUUUAAAUUUUUUAAUCUGAUGUAAGGUGUUAGUCUAAAAGUGAUAUAUUUUUUUCAAAGAAUUGAAUGAAUUUUUAACUAAUUAUAAACAAUAUAUGAUACUUUUCAAUUUUUAAUAAAAGUCGGAAAUCUAUAUAAGGAUUAACUAUAAGCACCUUUAGUGGCAGAAUAUAUAGAUUCACCAUCUAUUGAGACCACACCAGCAGUAGAGGACAAAAAAACAAUGCUAGCAGCUCCUGCAGCUUUGAGAAGAGGAUGUGAAAGCUGGCAAAAGUUGUAAGCAGAUUCAAGAUUGGUACUCAUUAUGAAUGAGUAAUCUUCAGCUGUGUACUCUAGCGUUGCUUUCGUCAAGCUAGUCCCCACAUUGUUUAUCUAUAACAAGACAUUAUUGUAAAGGUUUAGCAUAACAUAACGAUUUUAGCUUAUAUGUAUUAUUGAAAAAUGCAUGAAAAUUAUGUGUAUUAAACGUAAAAAGUACAUAUAUACGUGUACACAUUUUUGAGUUUUAAAAAACUUACAAUCUUACAAAUUAUUGAAUUUUGAAAUGUGUACAACAGAGUUAUUUACGAGAGGAUGUUUAGUUUGUCUUGAAAGUGUGAUGAUGAUUCAUGAUUCAUCCACAUAUCUUAUUUCGUCCUGGUUUGGUACUGAGGUGAUUCUGAAAAAAGUAGAUAUCAAAAAAAGUUCCCAGCUUUUUUAUGUUUGGUAAACAUUCAGCUUCAACUUUUUUUCACAGUUUUGGGUGAAAAAAAACCAAAAACACAAAGCUGCAAAACCUAGCUUUGAAAAACCAGUUUUUUUUUCACAUCUGUUUUACAUAAAAGUUUAUCAAACACUAUAAUAUUGUUUUUUUUUUUAAAAGUACUUUUACAAAAAAGUUUACCAAACACUCUACUGCUUUAUUUUACAGUUGCUUAUUCUCACAGCAUAGCAGAAACAAUUUUUUUCAAAACACAACAAUACCAAACCAGCCCUUCAACUGAUCAAUCUUUACUUACAAGGAUGUUGAGUUUGCCAUCAAAAAGUGAUGAGACCUUGUUUAUAAGCUCCUCUCUUUGGGUUUUUGACACCACAUCACAGACUGAGCCUGUGACUUGAAAACCCUUCUUCUCCCACUGACUCUGGCAGUCAUUAAGGUCAACUUCUUUCGGGAACAAGUAUGCACAAUUGCACCCAGCCCUGCCAAUUCCUCCACUAUCGCAUACCUAAAUAAAACUUUACUAAUUUAACAUAGAGCAAUACAAAAUAAUUCAAACCCAUAAUUCUAAAACAGAAGAAAACAUGGGACAAGUGGAGAAAUAAAGAGAAUAUUGCAUUGGAUGUAUAGGAAAAUUGAAACUAAAAGAAGAUUAAUGUUCUUAAGUAUCCAAAUAUAGAAGCUAACCCAAUUCCUUUGGUUCCACCGGUGACAAGAGCUGUCAUUCCACGAAGAGACCAUCUCCUCUCUCUGCUAUUCAUCUCUAUCUGCUCUCUAAUCUAUCUUUAUGCAAAUACUUUGUGGUUUUUAUUAUAUUUCUUUUCGAUAGGAUAACUAUUGUAUAUUUUGGCGGCCAGGGAAAAGUACGCGUGCCAUCUAUUCAUUCAGCAACUUGCAACAUUUUGUUUGCUUGUUUUGGCGUGGCAAACUAUGCAAAUUGAUUGUCCAAUUUGAAUUUGACUAAAUUAUAUUUCAUCCAAUUUCAACAUCGUUCAAUGACUUUCUAUUUCAUACAACUUUCGAUUCAAUCGUUCAAUAGUUCAGUACGAAUUCUAAACUCGUAUUCUAUAAAGCUCGUUUUGAAAACUUGAUUCGUGACACUAAUGAAUUAUACACUAUAAAGAAUCAAAGUUUAAAGAACACUAUUUCAACAAACUUUUGGAACUAGAAAGCAAAGAUACUUUUGGAGCUAGAAAACAAAAGGAAGGUAUUACGGUUCGUCCUGAACGAGAUCGAUGUCUUUUUGGUUAAUUUUUCAGCAAAUAGACAUAUCAUUGAGAGUAUUGUUUAUAGGCAUACAAUUCUUCUUGCUCCACAUUUUUUAAGGUUAAAUUACAUUUUACCCCAUCAAGUAUGGUAUAAAUUACAACCUUAUACAACAUCUUUAAAACAUUUCAAUUUCAUACAUUUAAUUAUAUUUUAUUUUCAGUUUUAUACAUCCGUUAAAAUAUCUGUUAAGUCAACCGUUACAUGAUAAUGUGGUAAAUGAUGACAUGAUUCUCAACUUUGCACCAUGUGAAUAAGAAAAUAAUAAAAAAGGAUUAUUUAAUAAAAAAUCAAUUUAUAUUAUAAUUAAAAACAAACAAAAAUUGAAAAGGGCAUCUGGGCAAUCACCCUCUUCCUCCUCCAGCACCACCACCAACGCACCUACGAAACCCUAGCCGUAAAGAGAAACGCGCACAGCUUCCAUCUCUCUAUCGGCAUAGCCCCAUGUACGAUCAGCCAUGGGCAAAUUUCACGGAUCGUUCGCACAUGCCCUUAUCCAUUCACGCAAGGACCUGCAACCAGAUAUCGACCCGCUACUGAAACCCAGACCAUAAAUCUGAUUGAAGCCCAAACCACUGCCGCACCUGAUCGAUUCUGAACCACGAAUCUGUUCUGAACCACCGCUACGAUAUUAGACCCGAUGAACCACAAAGAGCUGCCAUUUGAUUGUCGCGAUGACCUCUGCCGCAAUCUGUUUGAACCACCGCACCGCGCCCAGACCCCUGCAUCCACAAGCCCGACCUGCUUGCCUCGAGCAGAUGUAACCAAAAAAGCCGGUACCCUUACCAUAUUUGUACUGCACCUGCAUCCACUAGCACCGUCUAGCGCCUGUAUCAAGCCAAAUCCUCAUUUAUUUUCUAUUUUCGUGGUGAAAGGGGGCUUCAAGCCCAGAUCCUAUUUCGUCAAUUUUAAAUGGAGUUGAAAUGAAAUUUUCAAAAUCUUUACAAUUUUUUAAAUUUGCAAAUCAAAGGAAUUCAUAAAAUGAACACAAUUUCAUCAAUUUGGAGCUUUUGAAGUUGUUAAGGGUUGAAGAGGAGGAGGAAAACGAGUUUGGAGAAAGAAAGGCGGCGAGGUUGCUCGAGAAGAUGUAGGGUGGGGUGGGGGGGGAGGUUGCGGGGGAGGUGGGGGGUGGGGCGGGAAGGGUGGGUUUGGGUUGCGGGGAAGGGGAAGGGGGGCGGUUGCGGGUGGUUUUUUUGGAUGGGAGGGUAGGUGAAGAGAGUCGAGGAGAGGAAGAAGGUAGGUGGGGAAGAUGGGUUUCAGUUUUUUUUUUAUUUUUUAAGUGUAAAUUAUUAUAUUUUAAAUGCAUAAAAAAUUAAUUUGUUUGUCAUGGCAUAAAUUUAGCAAUCAUGUCAGCAUAAAUGUAGAUCUCAUAUUUGUCACGUCAUCAUUUAAUUGUAUAUAUGAAAUUGAUAUAAAAUGAUAAGUAGAUGCAUGAAAUUAAAAUGUUUGUAAGAUAACAAUAUAUAUGAAAUUGAAAUAAAAUGAUAAGUAAAUGUAUGAAAUUAAAAUAUUUUAAAAAUAUUGUAAGAAGUUACAAUCGAUCUCAAACUUAAAGAGAUAAAAUGUAAUUUUUUUUUUUAAUGCAAUCUUGUUAAGGGUCACAGAAUGAGUUAAAUAUUCCCACGACUAUACGUAAGAAUCUCGGUCUGAUGGGAUGAAAAUAUGGCUCCCUUUGAAAGUAUUUUUUUUUUUUUUUUACAUUGCGUAGCAUGUUUGUCUUCCGCAAAACACUUCCAAGUAUCUUUUAAACCAAAAACAUUUUAAACUAUUUUUACUUAACAUUAUCAUGUCUCUGCAAUUGCUUUAGUUAUUUAAACAGCAUUUCGAAUUGGAAACAGGCUCUACAACAAGCUAGACAUAUGAAGUUCUGAGAAUAGUUGAUAAGCAAGUUGUCCAAACCAUAUUUAUGUAAUCUUUGGAGGGUUCAGUUUAAAGCAUUUUUCUGACAUCUAUCAUCUAAGUUCACCUCACCACUUAAAUUAAUUAUUUUUUAAUUUUUAAUUGAACGAAAAGUAAAAAAGGGGCAUAUUACAUGAAACGUAAUAAGAUUCCUAUCUAAUUUUUUUUCCAAGAACCAAAAAAAAAAUUACUUGUAUCGUUGAGCAUUGAUAGAGAUAUGCCGUCCAGUAAUCCAGAAAAUUAAUUUUAUGAUCAGCCAUGUAAGGAAAACGAUGAUGUGCAAUGCUUCUUGAGGAGUUUUGUUGCUUCUCAAUAAAAUCUAUUUAUUUGAAUUUCCUGCUUCUACUACUACCUAUUGCUUGAAGUUUGCAUAGAUUAUAGAAGCAUUUUUUAUUGUUCUAAUCAUACAUGUCGAUCAUUUCCAAUUAACUGGCGAUCUUGGUGGUGUUGUUUGGAGGAUGUCGCAAUCUUCUCUCCAUCCAGUUUGGGGGUUGUGUUUAGCCGAUCUCAGGCGUCUGUUGGGAACGAUGGUUUGAGAUGGUGGGUUGGUGGCGUUUUGGCAGUGGAGUAGCAAGUUGCUAGGAUUUGUUGCGGUUUUUUUGUGCUCAAACCUUUGUUUUGGGCCAUUUUUGCUUUUACUUUGAAGGUUGAGUUGAAUAUCAGAGUGCGCAACGAACAAGACUAACAAGAAUAAUAAGAAUAUUAUUAAACUAACUGAUAAUGCCGGAACGGCUACAAAACCCUAAGAGACUAAUAACUUGUUAUUUCUAUAGAGUUACAAAGUACCAUAUAUAUAGAAAAGUAAUCUAACCCUAAUAGACAAGAAAACGAAACCCUAAUUCUAACGGGCUAAGCCCAAAAUACCAAACAUUAAAAUAAAUCUAAAUAAUAAUAUUUUCCAAGACCCCCGUCAAACUCAUGGCGGUACACGACAUGAGUUUGCUAAAAUAGAUGUGGAUGCAAGACUUCAAAUUCCAGUGCUAAUGCCGAUGUCGAUGGCAAUGCUAAUGUCGAUGUCGAUGCCGAUUUCCAAUGCCAAAUUCCAAUACCAUGCCCAAUGCCAAGUUCCAAUACCAUACCCAAUGCAAGAAUACACGGGCAACAAAACCUCAAAACAACCAAAUUUUUUUUUCCUUCCUUCUCCCCCCCCCCCCUUUUUGUUUUCCUUCCUUCGUCCUUCCUUUUUUUUCUUAUGUGCGAACCAACCAGCAACAUCAGCCUUUCUUUUUUUUUUUUUUCACAGGUGUACGGUUGUGGACGGAUCCAGAUGCAAGGUGGGGCUGGGGAAUGCAGAAAUCCUAGUGCGAUGAAGCAUUUUCAAAUUUGGGUGUGAGACAAAUUCACCAAAUUCUUUUUUUUUUCAAAAACAGAAUUUUUUUUCCUUUCUUGAAGACUACCAAGGACAAACUGAAAACCAAACCAGAAAACGUAAAAAAUCUACGAAUGGAAACUGGAAAGAAAUAAAACUGAUACGAACAAACAGAAGUAGAUUAGAUCCCGAAGAAUCAAACAUGCUCUAAAACCAAGUUGAAUAUCAGAGUGCAACAAGACUAACAAGAAUAAUAGGAAUAUUAUUAAAUUAACUGAGAAUGCAGGAACGGCUACAAAACCUAAGAGACUACAUUGUGAAUAAUUUGUUAUUUCUAUAGUGUUACAAAAUACCAUAUAUAUAGAAAAGUAAUCUAACCCUAAUAGGCAAGGAAACGAAACCCUAAUACUAACGGGUUAAGCUCAAAAUAUCAAAUAUUAAAAUAAAUCUAAAUAAUAAUAUUUUCCAACCGGUUCAUAUUUGCGUUGUGUGCUUAUUGUAAUUGAAUUUCUUUCUUUGUAAUUUUGUUGUCUUGGUAAAAAUUUUACUCUAAAAAAAAUCGAGGCUUGAAAGCUCUUCCAAUAGAGCGCUACUAAAUGUCAAUAGACCAAAUGUUUGGCAAUCUUUUAUUUUCUUAUUUAAUUAGAACAUUAAUGAUGUCACCUAUUUGCACAUACAAUAAAAGCACACCACUUUGGAAUUAUUAAAUACGAGAUUUUUUUUUAGAACUGUUUCCAAGUUAUGCUCCUUGGAAGAGCAAGCCAUUGACGGUCACCCCGCCGUCGACGAUAAUAGUCUGCCCAGUAAUGUAAGAGGCUGCAGGUAGGCAUAGAAAUGCUACCAAGGAAGACACCUCCUCUGGCUCUCCAGGACGUCCUAAAGGGCACCGAGAGUUUAUCAUCUCCAAUUUCUUUUCAUUUCGGAGAAUCUGCAUGCAUAGAAGAGAUAAUGGAUGAAAAGAGAAUGGAUGUGUAGGACACAUAUAUUAGCGACCAUCUUAGUAAUUGGUCAAGCCCUUCGUAAACAAAUUAAUUAAGACUAGAAGUAUCAUCUAAACUUGCUGUAAACUUUUCACCCAGAAACUUGCUGUAAACAUGUCAGGUCUAAGAACCUAUACAUGAAUAAAAACAAAAGACAUAUGGACUUUUGGCAAAACCCAACUUUUUAUUCCAAUUUCGACUAUGGACUUUUAGCAGACUAAUAAAUGAAAUACGGAUUGGCCUGAAGUUAUGAGAUGAUUGUAAUAUGAUGUGUGAUAUUCACAUACUUUUUUUUACUUCUUACACAUCAUUUUAAUUUGCGACCGUCGAAUCGGAUAAAUUAAAAAAAGAUUAAAGAACAUAAAUCCAUAAGAGGUGUGUUGAUAGCACACCCCUUGUAAUAUAAGAAGUUCAAAGAAUUCACUCAUGUAUCUUAAAUGCGGUUUUGAUUUUCCUGCAGCAACAUCUGUUGUAUUUAAAAAAAGGAAAAUAAAAGGCAUGCACAAGAACGUGAUUAGAAUAAUCUUACAGGAUCAGUGAGGGGAGUCUUGAUGAACCAAGGUGCCACACUGUUGGUCCUUAUGUUAUCUCUCGCCCACUCACAUGCUAAGUUUUUUGCUAACUGAUUUAGUGCACCUGAGAUACAAUAAGAAAAGCCACACUUUGGUCUAACAUUUAAAAUCACACACCAAAAAUAUUGUAAUCAAAUUUUAGGUGCUUCUCAUCUCAACCUCUUUUGAAACUAGCCACUCCUCUUUUCUCCUCUUACCAAACCCUGAAUUUUCAAACUCCAUAGUUGCCGGCCUCUUGAUUCGACUGGAGGCCGAUGGCAAUCCCUCUCCCCAUUUUUCUAGCCUCUCUUCUUUAUCUUUUCAUAGAUUGUUGCUUAUUUAUUUACGUCUUAGUAUUUUUAUUAAUAAGUGUCUU
rnacentral:lncRNA from 1 species